rnacentral:rRNA from 1 species
AGAGUUUGAUGAUGGCUCAGGAUGAACGCUAGCGGUGCGCCUAACACAUGCAAGUCGAGCGAUCGAGCCAAGCCAAUCACCCUUCGGGGUGUGCGGAUUGGUCACGGAGCGGCGAACUGGUGAGUAACACGUGACUAACCUACCCCCUUGACAAGGAUAGCCACCCGAAAGGGUGGGUAAUACUCGAUAUUGUUGGAGGUCGAUGGAUUUCCAACCAAAGGCGGUUCUGCCGCCACAAGGGGAGGGGGUCGCGUCCUAUUAGCUUGUUGGUAGGGUAACGGCCUACCAAGGCUACGAUGGGUAGCUGGUCUGAGAGGAUGGUCAGCCACAUUGGGACUGAGAUACGGCCCAGACUCCUACGGGAGGCAGCAGUGGGGAAUCUUUCGCAAUGGACGAAAGUCUGAUGGAGCGACACCGCGUGGGGG